AUGCAGUGGGAUGAAGCAAUCCAUGGGUCUUAGGAAAAGAGAGGCAAUUAGUUGGAGUGAAUUAAGGACUUUUAAAUGCCCUUCCUCCAAAUACAAUUUCAAGUUUGUUCAUACUUUGCCAAUUUCUCUGCUAGAAUUCCAGAAAAUGCAGCAAAAAAGGAAAGUGUUUAUGGAUUGAUAAUCACACUAAUAGCAAAGGAUGUUGGCAAAAGCAUGGCGAACCGGCAAGUCACGAAACGGCAAUGGACUCCGUUUUGGAGUCUU
rnacentral:sRNA from 11 species